AACGCGAAGAACCUUACCUACUCUUGACAUCCAGAGAACUUUCCAGAGAUGGAUUGGUGCCUUCGGGAACUCUGAGACAGGUGCUGCAUGGCUGUCGUCAGCUCGUGUUGUGAAAUGUUGGGUUAAGUCCCGCAACGAGCGCAACCCUUAUCCUUGUUUGCCAGCGAUUCGGUCGGGAACUCUAGGGAGACUGCCGGUGACAAACCGGAGGAAGGUGGGGAUGACGUCAAGUCAUCAUGGCCCUUAUGGGUAGGGCUACACACGUGCUACAAUGGCCGGUACAGAGGGCCGCAAACUCGCGAGAGUAAGCUAAUCCCUUAAAGCCGGUCCUAGUCCGGAUUGCAGUCUGCAACUCGACUGCAUGAAGCUGGAAUCGCUAGUAAUCGCGGAUCAGAAUGCCGCGGUGAAUUCGUUCCCGGGUCUUGUACACACCG
rnacentral:rRNA from 1 species